UGGGGAAUAUUGGACAAUGGGCGAAAGCCUGAUCCAGCAAUGCCGCGUGAGUGAUGAAGGCCUUAGGGUUGUAAAGCUCUUUUAACCGGGAUGAUAAUGACAGUACCGGGAGAAUAAGCCCCGGCCAACUCCGUGCCAGCAGCCGCGGUAAUACGGGGGGGGCUCGCGUUGUUCGGAAUUACUGGGCGUAAAGCGCGCGGAGGCGGCUUUGUAAGUUAGAGGUGAAAGCCCGGAGCUCAACUCCGGAACUGCCUUUAAGACUGCAUCGCUAGAAUCGUGGGGAGGUGAGUGGAAUUCCGAGUGUAGAGGUGAAAUUCGUAGAUAUUCGGAAGAACACCAGUGGCGAAGGCGACUCACUGGACACGUAUUGACGCUGAGGUGCGAAAGCGUGGGGAGCAAA
rnacentral:rRNA from 1 species